AGACAUCACAAAUCCGACAUGCCCAUGCUCUCUGUUGUAGACCUGUGCAGGGAACCAAAACUUGCCACCCUCAAGCGCGAGAUACCACGACAUAAUCGACUCAUCAGGGAGAGAAGGGCUCCUCAUCUUGCCAUCGAACCUGAUAGAUUUGAUCAAGGACAGAGGCCACAAACAAGCCAGAGCCCCCGCCCAUGACCGCACUCCCCCACGGCCAGCAGAAGCUUCCUUCUUCGAGGUCAAAUACAACUCCCACUGCCUCCGCGCCGCGCCUCCUAUCACCUUCCCCCACUUCUCCCCCAUAUGCCUCUCCCACAGGUAAUCACUCCUACACCUCUCCCUCAAAGAGCUACACACACCAGCCAUAUUGCACAGUCCAACCGGGGACAGCUUCUCCAGAAUCAACUCCAU
rnacentral:misc_RNA from 1 species